AUGAAGGGUGAACGACAAUUCUUCAGGUUGACCACAAGGACGUUAUCAGGAGACUUUGCCAAGUGACUAGUGGAAAUCCAGCCUCUCCACCAUCCAGGCCCUAAGAGAACUCACUAGUCUUUUGUCUGGAGCCAGGAAAGGAAGGAAUCAUCGGGAGAAAAGAGACUGCCUUCUCCUCUUGCCUCACCCACUGGAACAAGGGGGAUCUCACAGGAAGGUCACAGCAAAGGUUAUGUCGGUUUCAUAAAAUUUUUGAGUUGGAUUGGACAUGUGAGACGACGAGUGGUCGUCCAAUCUCUGCCUGGGCCCCCCUAGGAACGGAACCUGCCACUGCCUAAGGCAGUCCAUUGCUGUUUGGUGUAGCCUGAAUUAUCAGAAACUCUUUCCUGACAUCAAGCCUGAAUUUUCCUCUCUAAGACUCCCAACCACGGCUCCAGGUUUUGACUUUUGCAUCCGUGCAAAAGAACAAGUUUAACCUCUCUUUAAUGCCACAGACUUUUGGAUGGUUGAAGUCAGCCUGGCCUAAGUCUCUUCCUCUCCAGGCUAAACCCGCCCAGAUGCCUCAAGCAGUCUUCAUAAGGCAUGAUCUCCAGGGUCUUCACUCACCACAUCGCACUCCUGCGGAGGCUCUCCAGCCAGCUGGUAGCCUACAUCUCAUUUCAUCCUCCAUGUUUCUCCUUGUCACUGUUGUCCUUCUGCAGGACGAAGAACCAAGUAUCAGGUCCACAGCAUUCCUUCCUCAAGUAUAUCAGCCUUACCACGACACCAAUGGCAGCAAACUGAAAGACCACGUAGAGUUUUGGCUUUGUUUUUAUCGUUUGUUGCGCAUUAUUAUUCAUCCUGUGGGAGACAGUACUAAUGAGAGACUCAGUCCCACAAUCGCUGUUCCAUAGUCACAGCUCAUCACUAUAAGUCAUUAUCAUAGCCCCCGUCAUGAAUAGCAUUAACGAUCAAUACCAUCAUUGACCGCCUCCUCACCAUCCCCAUCUUCACCCUCACCACCACCAGCAUAAUCGUUACCACUGUCAUCCUCUCCAGUGCCUUCAUCCCCAAUCUCCCCAUUGCGAUCAUUACCGUCACAACCACAACCACUCCCAUAAUCAGUGUCAUCAUCUACAACGACCUCAUCACCACCACUAUCGACUCCAACAUCACUGUCAUUAUCACCGGCCUCCGCAUUACCACUGCCACGGCUGCCAUGAUCGGCUUAACAGUCAGUACCGGGACCUCUAUCACCUCUUACCAUCACUACCUCUCAGUCAUUCCUGUCACUAUGCCCACCACCACCAUCACGACUGACUGCAACAGUCUUUAUCAUCACCAACCUCUCCACCAUCAGUGCCAUCACUACCGUCAUCUACUUAAUAACCAUUAUUUCAGUGACCAUCCCAAUCCUUCCACAAUUGGUCACAAUAAUCAAUCAUUGCUUCCGUCACCAUCCAAAGUCCCUGAUUCAGUCUGUAACUGCUCACAAACUGUCCUGAACAUUGUACAAAGGCAAUUCCAAGGGCACGACCCCUUAGACAGGUAGCUAUCACUUUAUGCCACACAGCACGUACAUCCAAUGAUGAUAUGCAAAGCACAAUGGGACAUGACAUAUGUCUGUACGAUGUGUUCAGUGCAGGGAAACACAUUGUAUGUUUAAACUGAUGGGAGCACAGUAGUGCAAAGAGAAACACGACACACACGUACACCAUGAGACACAUGUCAGUGUAUGAGGAUGUUGACAUAUGUGUGACAUGUGAGGAAACAAGACAGAGUGUACGAUGGAUGCGUAGCGCAUGGCACCCACGCCCUCUUCUUGCCUUCCUCUCAAAGGAAUGUACUUUCUAGAUGGAGACCAUGUCAUCGAAGAAACAUUUCAUAUUUUCAU